rnacentral:rRNA from 1 species
GGUGGCGAGUGGCGAACGGGUGAGUAAUACAUCGGAACGUGUCCUGUAGUGGGGGAUAGCCCGGCGAAAGCCGGAUUAAUACCGCAUACGCUCUACGGAGGAAAGGGGGGGAUCUUAGGACCUCCCGCUACAGGGGCGGCCGAUGGCAGAUUAGCUAGUUGGUGGGGUAAAGGCCUACCAAGGCGACGAUCUGUAGCUGGUCUGAGAGGACGACCAGCCACACUGGGACUGAGACACGGCCCAGACUCCUACGGGAGGCAGCAGUGGGGAAUUUUGGACAAUGGGGGCAACCCUGAUCCAGCAAUGCCGCGUGUGUGAAGAAGGCCUUCGGGUUGUAAAGCACUUUUGUCCGGAAAGAAAACGCCGUGGUUAAUACCCGUGGCGGAUGACGGUACCGGAAGAAUAAGCACCGGCUAACUACGUGCCAGCAGCCGCGGUAAUACGUAGGGUGCAAGCGUUAAUCGGAAUUACUGGGCGUAAAGCGUGCGCAGGCGGUCCGCUAAGACAGAUGUGAAAUCCCCGGGCUUAACCUGGGAACUGCAUUUGUGACUGGCGGGCUAGAGUAUGGCAGAGGGGGGUAGAAUUCCACGUGUAGCAGUGAAAUGCGUAGAGAUGUGGAGGAAUACCGAUGGCGAAGGCAGCCCCCUGGGCCAAUACUGACGCUCAUGCACGAAAGCGUGGGGAGCAAACAGGAUUAGAUACCCUGGUAGUCCACGCCCUAAACGAUGUCAACUAGUUGUCGGGUCUUCAUUGACUUGGUAACGUAGCUAACGCGUGAAGUUGACCGCCUGGGGAGUACGGUCGCAAGAUUAAAACUCAAAGGAAUUGACGGGGACCCGCACAAGCGGUGGAUGAUGUGGAUUAAUUCGAUGCAACGCGAAAAACCUUACCUACCCUUGACAUGUAUGGAAUCCUGCUGAAAGGUGGGAGUGCCCGAAAGGGAGCCAUAACACAGGGUGCUGCAUGGCUGGUCGUCAGCUUCGUGUCGGUGAGAUGUUGGGGU